rnacentral:lncRNA from 1 species
GAAAUUAAAUCAAUAUUGUGUUGAAUAAAAAUUGAGUUGUUUUUAAGAAUAGAUAAAUAGUGCUUGGAUGGUUAGAUUAGAACAAGAGUAAUAAGAGUUAUAAUUUUAAAAUUAAAAUUAUAUUAUCUAAUUAAUUAAUAUCAAAAUAUUACUUAAAAAUAAAUAAUAAAUAAAUUAUUAAUAAUUUAUUAUAAAUAAUAAAAUAAUAAUAUUGAUUAUCUAAUUAAUAAUAAUAAUAAUUAUUAUUAAAUAAUAAUAUUAAUAAAUAAUUAUAAUAAUAAUUAAUAAUAAUAUCAAUUAUCUAAUUAUUAAUAAUUAUUAAUUAAUAAUAAUAUCGAUUAUCUAAUUAUUAAUAAUAAUAGUUAUAAAUAAAUAAUAAUAAUUGUAAAAAUAUUAUAAUUAAUUAUAAAUAAUAAAUUACUAUAUUAAUUAUUAAAUUAUUAAUAAUUAAUUAUAUAUAAUAAAUCAAUAAUAAUAUCGAUUAUCUAAUUAUUAAGAAUAAUAAUUAUUAAUAAUUAAUUAUAAAUAUUAAAUUAAUAAUAGUAAUUAUCUAAUUAAUAAUAAUUAAUUAUAAAUAAUAAAUUAAUUAAUUAUUUUAUUAUUUAAGUAAUAAAUAUUAAUUUAAAUAUAUUAAUUAGAUUAAUUAAAGAUUUACUGUCAUUAAAAUUAAAUUUAGACUUUAAUUAACCGUGUUCUCAUUCGGGAAAAAACGUGUUCCAGGAAAAAGGAGGAAUAACAGUUCCAGCCAUAUACUAGCUUAUUCCAGAAACCCGAAAACUACUGUUUCCGAAAACGAAAUGCGACGUUUGGAAACAAAGGGGAGAACAAGGGCUUAUUCGCCCUCUUGUUUCUGAACCAAACGCUACCUUUGGGUAUCGCAGCACGGGAAGUCUAAGAGAGACCCCCUGUAUCAUGCCUUUUAAUUACUGGUAUGAUACGUAUCGCUUCAUGCCGACCGGCACGAUGGUUACUUUAAAUCUUGCUUUGCGAAUCCAACUAUU